rnacentral:misc_RNA from 1 species
AACGCACAUUGCGCCUCCGGGUAUUCCUGGAGGCAUGCCUGUUCGAGCGUCGUUAAAGACCAUAAGGCUUUGCCUUGCGAUGAGCUUCUGGCGGCUCUCCGGAGAAACCAGUUGCUUCAAACUUAUUGGCGUCUGAAGCCUAGCCCAAGCACAGCAAAAUGUGUUCCGAGUCUGGCGAACGAUUGCCCGUACCCAAAAACAUUAAUUGGUCGACCUCGGAUCAGGCAAGAUUACCCGCUGAACUUAA